rnacentral:tRNA from 1 species
CGGGGUGUAGCUCAGCCCGGUUAGAGUACACGUCUGGGGGGCGUGGUGUCGCUAGUUCGAAUCUAGUCACCCCGA